rnacentral:rRNA from 1 species
UACGGGGGGAGCAAGCGUUGUUCGGAUUUACUGGGCGUAAAGGGCGCGUAGGCGGCCAGCACAAGUCAGUUGUGAAAUCUCCGAGCUUAACUCGGAACGGUCAACUGAUACUGUGCGGCUAGAGUGCGGAAGGGGCAACUGGAAUUCUUGGUGUAGCGGUGAAAUGCGUAGAUAUCAAGAGGAACACCUGCGGCGAAGGCGGGUUGCUGGGCUGACACUGACGCUGAUGCACGAAAGCGUGGGGAGCAAACAGG